UUGCAGGCAUCAAAUUCCAAAUGAUUUGCAAAAAAUAACAACGUUUUCCAGUUCGAAUGUUAAGUAUCUUGUCUUUGCAGUCUAUUCAAUUGAAUAUAGGUUGAAAAGGAUUUGCAAAUCAUUGUAUUCUGUUUUUAUUUACGAUUAACACAACGUGCCAACUUCUCUGCUCUGUCAUUGAACCAUUUCAGCUCAUGAGUUGAGGUACUACUAGAAGGACAAGUGGUAGAAAAUGGAUGGAUGUAUUGCUGUGACCUUUGGACCUUUUUCCAAUUACGGAUCAAGGCGUCCACAACUGCUGCCUGAUUGACAACCAGGACACACCUGCACCCGGUUGCCAAACAGUCCAGCAUCCUUUGAACUUCCUUAAAAAUGCCUCUUGCUUUAAACCAAAGAAAUUCUGUGUCUUGUGCCCUAAUUAGGUGCCCUUUUGUGUGAGUUCUUUUUUUCAUGUUGUGUUUCCCACUAUGUUUUCUUUUGUUGUAUUAAAGAAGAUUUUUUUCACUCAC